UAUGAGAACAUCAUCUCAUGACAAAUGAUCCCACCAUGACCACCAUUCUCGCCAUCCCUCCAAGCUAGUCUGUGUUUUUCCUCAACGACCAUUGUCUUGCCUUCUAUCUCUUCUUCCUUUCCCCAUCCUUGUGCUUCCCAACCCAUCUUUCCACCAUUCCUCAGCUAUGCGGUCCCCCAUCUCUAACCCCUUCCAUCUUCCCCCCCUC
rnacentral:lncRNA from 1 species